rnacentral:rRNA from 1 species
AUUGAACGCUGGCGGCAUGCCUUACACAUGCAAGUCGAACGGCAGCACGGGGGCAACCCUGGUGGCGAGUGGCGAACGGGUGAGUAAUACAUCGGAACGUGUCCUGUAGUGGGGGAUAGCCCGGCGAAAGCGAUUUAAUACCGCAUACGACCUAAGGGAGAAAGCGGGGGAUCUUCGGACCUCGCGCUAUAGGGGCGGCCGAUGGCAGAUUAGCUAGUUGGUGGGGUAAAGGCCUACCAAGGCGACGAUCUGUAGCUGGUCUGAGAGGACGACCAGCCACACUGGGACUGAGACACGGCCCAGACUCCUACGGGAGGCAGCAGUGGGGAAUUUUGGACAAUGGGGGCAACCCUGAUCCAGCAAUGCCGCGUGUGUGAAGAAGGCCUUCGGGUUGUAAAGCACUUUUGUCCGGAAAGAAAACUUCGGCGCUAAUAUNGNUGNAGGAUGACGGUACCGGAAGAAUAAGCACCGGCUAACUACGUGC